GACAAUUUCAAAUAUUCAACGAUACAAAAAGGCUUGCAUUACCCUAUGCCCCAGUCCCCACGGGUCACCGCCACCGAAUGACCAGCAGCCGAUCUCAAGUUCGUUGCUUCGCCAGAAAAGAAGCAGACUGUUUCGAAUAUUUGUGUCACGUAACAUUUCAAGAACCGAAACUCAAGAAUGCCCACAGCCAAUUUCCACAGAUGAAAAAGGUACCUACCCUUGCUCAACAUUGAACGAGAGGAUCAACAGCUAGGGACACACGCACAACAAAAAUAUGUCCUUUUGAGUGGAGGGCUGCCUUUUUGGCAUUUCGUUAGUUGCAAACUGAUUGGCGGAGGGGGAGCUAUGCCAAGCCCUAUUUGCUAAUCUUCAUAGUUUACACAACGGCUUGGAAUUACCGCAAGGAAAUUAUCGUCUGAUGGUCUCUAGCAUUAAA